AUAUGUGACCACAAACCUUGCUCCACUGUUACCAUUCAUCCACCUCUUCCUUCCCCCUCUUCUUUUCCCUUUUCAUCUCUCGCCAUUAAUGAGAUCUAUCUCCGAUCCCCCGAGCUCCCUUAGUUUAGUUAUUUUCUUUUGAGUACUUGUAUUCGAUCCUCAGCUCCGAAGGCUGCCUUUGAAUUCCAUGAAUUUCUUUCAUGACUAUACUUUUCUGUCUCCGAUCUGUUUUUCUUUUGUUGAAGAUCGAUGAACAAUAACUGGGGGGCCUAGCAAACACAACACACACUCCUAACCACUCCCAGCAAGCCACGUCAGCAUCUCCCUCGUGGCCUUGCCGCUGGUAAAAAUUUACUCAUCUCAUCAAGCAUAUAAAGAGUGUUAGGAGACGAGCUUCCUUGUGAUUGGUCUUUACUCUCUACUCUUUCUGAGUAAUCUAUACAUGAAGUUAUGCUCGCUGCAGCUUCUUCUACUUCGUAUGCACGUGUUUAAUUAGCAGGAAGUUGCAUGGGGAUGAAGAAAUCAAAGUAAAAGCAGUCGUUGUUUGCGGAUGUAGCAUCAUCAAGAUUCACAUGCUGCAACAAGUGCUAGCUUAUGAGAAUCUUGAUGAUGCUGCAUCGGCCAUAAACGACUUUAGUAGUGGGUAGGAGGUGGGAACUGGUGGAACAACAUCUUCACACACGAGAUCUAGAGGCACCAUCACCACAGAAAUUAAAUAUAUUUUAGGUAGUAAUGGACAUAUAUUCUUCCAAGUGGUUGGAUAUGCAUCUGGGAAUUAUAAGAUAUCACUGAAAAAUUGGAAGUUGGAUAUGCAAAUUAUCAAAGGGCAUACACUAUUGUCUGAUUUCUAUGAUCAACUAUCUUUUGCUCAAAGGUGGACCAACACCUAUAGAUGCUGCAACGUUGAACCAUUGUUAAGGAAUAUUUUCAACUAAAUUUGGGGAGUCUAUACUUCCACCUCUCUAACCAUGCAUCUCCUACAUGCUGGUUCACAUGAAUCUUCUGUAAGUACUAAUUUCAUAUAUGUGUAUAUAAAUUGAGUUAAGCUAUAUUCUUAUGAAUUAUGAUGAUAUCUCUACAUAUAUUUCCUUGCCUUUUAAUAGUAAUACAUAAAAACUUAAACUAAAAAGUAAUAAGUGUAUGCUUUUUUAUUAGUUUGGCAUACAAAUGCACUUCAUACUCUUCUGUUUUAUAACUAGUAAUUAAAUAUAUGAUAUAAGAAACUGAGUUAAGUGUAUUUAGAAUAUUAUUUGUGCACUUCUUUAGCUGUACAAUUUAUUCAUCGGUACUAAUAAUUUGAUGCAUUUUUAGGUUAUGACUCCUGUAUCGGUAUCUUCAUAAACAGUGAGAAUUGAAACAAUACACAGUAGUUAGCAUCAGUGUCUUAAAAUCGGCUUUAUAAGUGCUUUAGAAGUAACAUUUUUCUGUUCAUCU